AAUGUUGGGGGGGACAUUAAACAUAACAUUUUUAAAGAUCAAUUUUUGAAGGGGAUACCAAUAAUACAGGCAAAAUUGUACUUGCAAGGAAAUGUGUACAGAUAGAAAACGUUUCUCUUUCUCUAUGAACGGCCGCAAAUUUAAUUUUAAAGAGCACCUAUUAUAGGAUACACGUUUUUAAACAUCCUUUUGUGUGUAAGUGUGCAUAAGUACAUGCUAACGAUAUUCAAGAAGUACAUACCUCAAAGAAAACGAUGACACGAGUUAUCGUCUCUAACGUUCGAGGACUACAAAAAACACUCGGAUUGUAGGCAACAGUUUACUUCCUGGGAUUGGUGACGUAGAUAAGACCAACAUUAUCAUAGUUCAGCCCUCUCUGCUUUGCUUGGGUACGCCCUCAAAGACGAGGGUGGGGAGCGCCGAGUCAGAAGACAGCUAAAAUGGCGGAGGUUGUGAGUUCCUGCUUUGACCCUGUUUGCAAGCUCUUGUUUCAUUGUUUAAGCGAUUAAAUCUCUCGAGUAGACGCUGUCUCUUUAGAUGCGAGGGCAAAAUAGCACUUUAUGGACUUCCACAGAGGACAUCAUGUUUAAUACGGUUCCGGAAAAAUCCAGUCAGAAGUUGUUCACGGAGUUUUCACAAUAACUGCUUCUCAUGAACCGAAGCUGGAUUUGCGCGAAGUCUCCUCUUGAAAGUUGGAUUACUGCACUUCUGGAUCACAGGCUAUUCGCAGCUGGACACAUCCUUCUACACUGUAUGCAAACAUGCAACAUCAUUACACACAGUACAAGGAGUCAGACUGGCAUAUGAGGAGCAAAGGAACCCAGGCAGUAGCAUCGUUUCACAAUGUUUCCUUCACCAUCAUCAGUGGAUGCCUUUGCUGUCCGUAGCCUGAGAUUUCAGAUUUGCAGCAAAAAAAAAUUUAUUUUCUCAUUUAUUGGAAUGCUGUGCAGGUAUUUGUACCUUGCAGCCAUCCAUUACAAUGUCACCAAGCCGUAACAAAAGCAGGAGAGGGAAAGUACAAGGCUAUGUUCCCAAAACACACAAGUGACAUACCUUAUGUGGAUGAUGUGAUCAGGCUUGUGUUUGAUGAGGUAUUUGAAGAUAAGCUGAAGGAAGCCCUGAUUCCAAUGGACCUGGCAUCACAGUUUGAGAGACCUUCAAAGGAGGACGUGAUUGCAUGCCAUCUUCAGUGCA